UACAGAGGUCCCAAGCGUUGUUCGGAUUCACUGGGCGUAAAGGGUGCGUAGGUGGUGAGGUAAGUCGGAUGUGAAAGCUCGGAGCUCAACUCCGAAAUGGCAUUGGAAACUACCUUGCUCGAGGGUUGGAGGGGGGACUGGAAUACUUGGUGUAGCAGCGAAAUGCGUAGAUAUCAAGUGGAACACCAGUGGCGAAGGCGAGUCCCUGGACAACUCCUGACACUGAGGCACGAAAGCUAGGGGAGCAAACAGG
rnacentral:rRNA from 1 species